UGGGGAAUAUUGCACAAUGGGCGCAAGCCUGAUGCAGCGACGCCGCGUGAGGGAUGAAGGCCUUCGGGUUGUAAACCUCUUUCGUCAGGGAACAAGGCACUGCCUUUUUGGUGGUGUUGAGGGUACCUGGAUAAGAAGCGCCGGCUAACUACGUGCCAGCAGCCGCGGUAAUACGUAGGGCGCAAGCGUUGUCCGGAAUUAUUGGGCGUAAAGAGCUCGUAGGCGGCUGGUCGCGUCUGUCGUGAAAACUUCCGGCUCAACCGGGGGCUUGCGGUGGGUACGGGCCGGCUAGAGUGCGGUAGGGGUAACUGGAACUCCUGGUGUAGCGGUGGAAUGCGCAGAUAUCAGGAAGAACACCGAUGGCGAAGGCAGGUUACUGGGCCGUUACUGACGCUGAGGAGCGAAAGCGUGGGGAGCGAACAGGAUUAGAUACCCUGGUAGUCCACGCCGUAAACGUUGGGCACUAGGUGUGAGGCUCCUUUCCGGGGGUUUUGCGCCGUAGCUAACGCAUUAAGUGCCCCGCCUGGGGAGUACGGCCGCAAGGCUA
rnacentral:rRNA from 1 species